rnacentral:rRNA from 1 species
UUAAGUGACUGCUAUCGGAUUGAUACUAAGCGAUGUGAGUCUUUGCAGCCAUGCAAGGCAGACGGCUCAGUAACACGUAGUCAAUCUAACCUAUGGACAGGGAUAAUCUCGGGAAACUGAGCAUAAUACCUGAUAGAUCAUUAUGCCUGGAACGGUUAAUGGUUGAAAUGAAUUUCGCCAUAGGAUGGGACUGCGGCCUAUCAGUGCGUUGGUGAGGUAAUGGCCCACCAAGGCUAUUACAGGUAAACGCUCUGAGAGGAGAAGCUGCGUGAUGGGUACUGAGACACGGACCCAGGUCCUAUGGGGCGCAGCAGGCGAGAAAACUUUGCAAUGUGCGGGGGCACGACAAGGUUAAUCCGAGUGUUUCCUGCUAUAGGAAUCUUUUGUUAGUCGUAAAACCACUAUUGAAUAAGGGGUGGGCAAGUUCUGGUGUCAGCCGCCGCGGUAAAACCAGCACCUCAAGUGGUCAUGAGGUUUAUCGGGCCUAAUGCAUCCGUAGCCUGAUCUAUAAGUUUCCGGUUAAAUCCACAUGCUCAACAUUUGGGCUGCCGGAAAAACUGUAGCACUAGGGAGUGGGAGAGGUAGAUGGUACUCGGUAGGAAGGGGUAAAAUCCUUUGAUCUAUUGAUGACCACCAGUGGCGAAGGCGGUCUACCAGAACACGUUCGACGUUCAUGGAUGAAAGCUGGGGGAGCAAACCGGAUUAGAUACCCGGGUAGUCCCAGCUGUAAACGAUGCAGACUCGGUGAUGCAUUGGCUUGUGGCCAGUGCAGUGCCGCAGGGAAGCCGUUAAGUUUGCCGCCUGGGAAGUACGUACGCAAGUAUGAAACUUAAAGGAAUUGGCGGGGGAGCACCACUGUGA